rnacentral:ncRNA from 1 species
GCAGAGUAGUUGAACAAGCGCAUAUAGUACGCCCUCGGAUGUGCUAUACAGUGUCUUUCGGACGGGGAGUUGUCGAAAGAACGAAUAAACCUUGGUGUUUUGCGAUUUGUUCUCCGCAUCCCGCUGC